UCUUAUGUUGAUGAUCCUCUUCCUCCCUCUGAUGAUGUUGGUAUGACAGUUGGUGAUGGAGACUUUCUAGAAGAACCCUUGACAUCUUCGCCGUCUCAGUUCCUAUUCCAAUACUUUGGUACCAGUAACUCAGUCUCAGCCCAUUGAUGUGCAUGAACCAUGACUGAAAACAAACCCAGAAAAUGUUCUAUUUGAAAUAACAUGAACAGAUUGAGACUUCGAAGUCACAAGUUUCUAAUCAAAUAAGCUUUGAUCCACUCCUACUAAUUGAAGUACAUGAACAACUUUUAUUGCACUCUACAUGGUCCAAUUGCAUUAACUACACAUGUGCAUGUAUUUCUUUUCUUUGAUUUGUGAUUAUGAAACAAUGUUUGUGAUUUAACUA